GACCUGUCACCUCCCACCAGCAAAAGUGACAUUGUGUCUUAUCAUCUUGGACCAGAUAGUUCCAUUGCUUGUACAAGCAAUGAAGAAUCAUCAGUAAGAUCAGAGUAUCUUUCUGAAGAAGAAAAUUCAUUUGCUCUGCUGUAUCUUGUUGGUUCUGCUGUUUGAGAUGCUUCCCAUUUCUCUGCUAGUCCAUCUCCUUCGAGCAUUCUUACAACUUCAGACAUUUUAGGUCUAUGACUUGGAUGAUACUGAGUACAUAGUAAUGCUACUUGUACCAUUUCCUCUAACUCUAUCGUAUCGUACUCGUUUUUCAUGUCUUUAUCCACCAACAUGUCUAGCCUUUUCUCUUGUUGAAUCUUUCUUACCCAAUCAAGCAUGGCACCUUUUUGGUUUGCUGCUUUACCAAAUUCCAGAGCUCUUUCUCCAGUGAUCAAUUCUAGCAAGAGAAUACCAAAACCAAAAACGUCCGUCUUAUCAGAGGACUGUCCUGUAGAGAGAUAUUCCGGAGCUAUAUGUCCUACAGUUCCUCUAACCGCGGUUGUGACAUGUGAAUCAUGAUGAUCCAAAAGCUUUGCUAAUCCGAA
rnacentral:misc_RNA from 1 species